rnacentral:rRNA from 1 species
AUUGAACGCUGGCGGCAGGCCUAACACAUGCAAGUCGAGCGGAUGAAGGGAGCUUGCUCCUGGAUUCAGCGGCGGACGGGUGAGUAAUGCCUAGGAAUCUGCCUGGUAGUGGGGGCUAACGUCCGCAAACGGGCGCUAAUACCGCAUACGUCCUGAGGGAGAAAGUGGGGGAUCUUCGGACCUCACGCUAUCAGAUGAGCCUAGGUCGGAUUAGCUAGUUGGUGGGGUAAAGGCCUACCAAGGCGACGAUCCGUAACUGGUCUGAGAGGAUGAUCAGUCACACUGGAACUGAGACACGGUCCAGACUCCUACGGGAGGCAGCAGUGGGGAAUAUUGGACAAUGGGCGAAAGCCUGAUCCAGCCAUGCCGCGUGUGUGAAGAAGGUCUUCGGAUUGUAAAGCACUUUUAGUUGGGAGGAAGGGCAGUAAGUUAAUACCUUGCUGUUUUGACGUUACCAACAGAAUAAGCACCGGCUAACUUCGUG